ensembl:processed_transcript uncharacterized LOC110325477
GGUCCGCGGUCUUCGCGAGCUCCAAGGCGGAAGGAUCUGUCGUCCCACCGCAGUGUGGGGUUUCCGUUGUCAAAUAGGAAGUGAAAACACGGGCAGCCAUCCUUAAGCAAUUCCCGCUAUCUCCUGGUCGUCCGCUGACCUUGGUCGGGCUUACUGCGGGUAGCGUCUCGAGGAGUUACGAUUCCCGGCUUGCGGUUGGAUAAAUGAGUUCCUGUGUGAAAUGGUGGUCUCUGUGAAAAGGGCGUGUGAGAUCGAAUUAAUAUGGAAGCACGCACGUGGCAUCUUAAAGUCAGGAACCACAGACAGGAUGGUUUAUAAAGAACAGAGAGGUUCCAGAGGCAGGGAAAUUCAAGAACUGGGUGCCAGCCUUCCUGCUGCAUCUUGAUGAGACAGAGAGCGUCCCAUGGCCAGACAGGCAAGCGUGCCAGCUCAUAUCUCACUUCUUCCUCUGAAGCCACUGGUGGUGGUGUGGAAAGUUCAUGCUGGAAUAGAAAGCUAACAAGGACAGAGCUCUACCCUCCUCACCUCAUUCGAAGAAUCUCCUCCUACAAGCCUCAUUUCAAAUAGCAACUCCAACUUAGGGAUUGAGUUUCCAAGGCAUGAACUUUUGGGUAUCUGCUGAAACCCUGGUAAGAAGGACUGCGUGCCUACCUCCCUUCUAGCCUCCCCAUCCUCUUUCUCUCCCCUCCUUUCUGUUUAAAGCAGAGAUCAAGGAAUAAAAGCAAGGCUUGUUCUAUGA